CAGUAGCCGCGGUAAUACGUAGGUGGCAAGCGUUGUCCGGAAUUAUUGGGCGUAAAGGGCUCGCAGGCGGUUUCUUAAGUCUGAUGUGAAAGCCCACGGCUCAACCGGGGAGGGUCAUUGGAAACUGGGAAACUUGAGUGCAGAAGAGGAGAGUGGAAUUCCACGUGUAGCGGUGAAAUGCGUAGAGAUGUGGAGGAACACCAGUGGCGAAGGCGACUCUCUGGUCUGUAACUGACGCUGAGGAGCGAAAGCGUGGGGAGCGAACAGGAUUAGAUACCCGAGUAGUCCCUGUCUCUUAUAC
rnacentral:rRNA from 1 species